UGAAAUACUAAACACUACUUUCUGUCUAUGGAUUCUGUAAAAUUAUCAUGUAAAUGUUCUACCAAUUUGCUGUAUAUUUUUGUUGCCUUUUUGCUUUUUUUUUAUUAAUCUGUGCAAUACCUCAUUUAAUCUGUAAGGGUUUGUCAUAAUCCUCUGCAAAGCUACUCCCUGUGACUGUGUGCACGUUUACACCAGGAUGCUCACUUGAUUUGUGAGUGUUUUUCAUUCCAUCAACAAGGGAGUUUAAAUAUUAUAUGUGAGACUGACAAAAACCUUAAUGUAAUUUAGUUAUAAUGCCAGAAGGAAAACACUAUUUUCAUACCCUACUUUUUCUGUACCUAAAUUUUCUUAUUAAAAUCUAGUAUAGCACUACAUUCUUUUUUAAGUGAUGCAAACCUUAGUUUAUUUAGCCCCUUCUUUUUGAACACAUGCCACAUGAAUGUUGAAACUGAUACAUUGCACAGUUCUCUAGACUUCACUACACUGAUGCAAGUUCUCAAAUUUUAGCAAUAUGCUCUACGUAAAAUCACUACAGAGAUGCUAGUUGGGAAAAUGAGUAACACAUCUCUUACAGCAGUAUUGCCUGUUGUUGUACAGAUCUGGUAUUUGGAGGCUGGAAUCAUAAGGAGCCCUUGCAUCCCUAAUACUUGACUGAGGUUAUUUUUGUGUUAUAGCAAAUGUGGCAGGCUCUUUUUGGCAAAAAUUUUUAAAAAGUAUUUUUGGUAUUAUUCUGAAAGAAAAGAUGUUAAAGUUUAGGGGAUCUUAGAUAUAAUUCCAUACUACAUGAACUGAAGGAGGCUAUACAUUGUGGUGUUUGAUUAAUUUACUAUAAAAAAUUCAGAACAUAAAAAUGAGGUAGGAUUAAGUAUUUUUAUUUUGCAGUCUGUAUGGAUUGAGAUAAUUCAGAAAUACCAACCAUAGAAAUCUUAACUAGUUGGCUAAGGUAUACCCUGUAAUAGUGAAACUAUAAUAUGCUGGGUGUUUUUUUUUUAAUUUUGAUAAUUUCUCAAGGUUUUUGUCAAAUGUCAGGUGAAGGGUUACCUUUUUCUUAAAAGAUUGAUGGUCCCAAUGUCAAAUUUCUUGAAACACAAAACCCAAUGAUAGAUUUUUAAGAAGCAAAAAUAAAACUUUACAACCUGCAUAUCUGUUAUAUAUGCUACAUGAUGUGUUAAAAUUAGGGUUUCCUUGCCUCUCUACAGUACACUAGUCUGCCUAAGGGUGAUUGUUUCAUAUAUAUAGCAUUAAUUAUCAUACCUGCCUACUUUAAAUUUUAGGUAGAAAAAUGAUCUGAUUUAAAUAAAUACAGACACCUAUUUUUCUCACAUUGAGUCAUAUACAGAAUGUAGUUCCAAAUGUAUUUCAUUACUAUAGUCACAAUAUCUGACUAAAAAUUAAGCUCUCUAUAAUUGUACCGACCAAAAUCUAGUUAUUGGCAUGAUCUUGACAGGCUGGACCUGCAAGAUGUGGCUUGAAUUUUAACCAGUUAUCACAUAAUCUCUAGUGAUCAUGCAUCUAGUUAUCAUGAGAAAUAAUUUAAAAGGUUUUGUUGCUGAAAGCAGUAAGUGGUGCAGUACAAUAGUUAAGUUAUUCAGAGACUGUUACCUACCUUGCAGGAAUAAUUUAAGCUCAUGGGAAAGAUUCUAGACUUUUUGUUUCUUGCAAAAAAAACAGUGCCCUCUGCUGCUAAAAACCUUUUUCUGCUUACUUUUUUUUUUUUUAUUGUGGCUUAAUUUCUGUGGGUCUGGUGUGGAUGAGGCUGGACAACAACAACCAAUAAAAUUAGGAAUUUGUGCAAAUGGUAAAUAGAACGAUUGGAAACACAAUUCUAAACAUGUGAGAUGGGUAUAAAAUUUGCCAAUGGUAAUUGAGUUUAUUCUUUCUUCUUAAAGGACAAAAAAAAAAAGACUUUUGUUGUUGCACAAAGUCUAAAUUAAUAUUGGUUGAAACAC
rnacentral:lncRNA from 1 species